rnacentral:rRNA from 1 species
UACAGAGGGUGCAAGCGUUAAUCGGAAUUACUGGGCGUAAAGCGUGCGUAGACGGUUAUGUAAGUCAGGUGUGAAAGCCCAGGGCUCAACCUUGGAAUUGCAUUUGAGACUGCAUAGCUAGGGUGCGGAAGAGGGAAGCGGAAUUUCCGGUGUAGCGGUGAAAUGCGUAGAUAUCGGAAGGAACACCAGUGGCGAAAAGCGGCUUCCUGGUCCAGCACCGACGUUCAGGCACGAAAGCGUGGGGAGCAAACAGG